CGCCGCGCAGCCACCCGGCCCCGCUCCAUGCCAAACCGACCGCCGCCGUCAUCGUCGACGUCAUCCAUGGCCCCCGCCACUCCACGCCGCACCCGUCCAAGAGUGGGAGAAGCAGCUGCUCUCCCUCUCCUCCUCCUCCUCACUCUCCCUCCUCCUUUUCUCGUUUUGGCAAGGGACCAAGCCCCUUUCCCCCUUCUUUUUCCUUUUGCCCAACACCGCCGGCGUCAUCACCUGCCGCCGCCUUGGCUGCACGCGUCGACGACCGCCAGCUCGUCGCCCUUGCAUCCCUUGACUGCCAAUGUCGGUUUCCCUCCUCCAAACCGACCUCUCCUCCUCGCCUAUAAGGCCGAGUCCCUCCUCUCAAUUUCCCCGCUUCAGUCUCCACCGCUGUAGCGCCAUUACCACCGAACCACCAUCGCCGCCUUGUUGCCGCUUGUCCCGCUCUCGUCGUCGUCGUCCGUCGCCGAGCACCGGAGGAGCCGGUGCGAGCGUGAACGCGUGACGAGGAGCUCCGGGCGCCACCUCUCCCUCUCUUCUUCCCCGGCGCACUCGCCUCGACGCCGCGCCGCCUCGGCGUCAUUCGCCGUGCGCCGCCGCUCGGUCGCGUGCCGCCAUCGGCCUUCCACCCCUUUCCAUCCCCAAAUCGCCGCCGAUACCGUUCCCGCACACCGGCUCGAGCAGAUGAGCAAGGAAGAUGAGUCUGAUGCAACGGCCACAAGGGGUGCAGGCUCGUGAUCAAUGAGAUGUACUUGAUAGUACAGUGACAAGGGGUCAUAUAGAGGUGUAGACGAGGACUAGAACAGCACAAAUCUACGAAGGAAGGGGAAAACAGACCAAGAGCAAGCGAGCAGCUGGACGAAAGAACUCGUCGCUGCCUUACUCGUCGGACGCCACGGAUGGAUGGCCUACCAAACAAAACUAGGAGGGGUAAAGGAAGGUAGAGAAGGGUCGGUUGAUCACUGACAGGUGGGUCUCACAGGAUGAUUUAGCGGGUUGGACCAAGUCAAAGCGCUACAUCGGUAAAAUCGUCUUCCAAAAAAGCAGAAAAUAUAUUGUAUAUCAUCAUGACUUCAUUUUUCGCAUACUAGAUCUUUUACAUCGAUUUCAUUGUUAAACAAGUUAUCACAUUUUGAGCUUCCCCAUUGUACAUAAUCGCAGCCCUCAGACCUCAGAUAAUACGUAAGUGAAAGCUUCCUCAACCAUUUGUCAGAAAAACAAAGAUGAAUUCGACAAAUGUUUGAGUCACUAAUCACUAUACAAUAUAAAUCCUGAAGAGGAAUAAAAUGGAAAAA